CGACGUAGGUAACCUGCCUGGUAGCGGGGGAUAACUAUUGGAAACGAUAGCUAAUACCGCAUAAUAUUAAUUAUUGCAUGAUAAUUAAAUUAAAAGGUGCAAUUGCACCACUACCAGAUGGACCUGCGUUGUAUUAGCUAGUAGGUGAGGUAACGGCUCACCUAGGCGACGAUACAUAGCCGACCUGAGAGGGUGAUCGGCCACACUGGGACUGAGACACGGCCCAG
rnacentral:rRNA from 1 species